rnacentral:rRNA from 1 species
AUUGAACGCUGGCGGCAGGCCUAACACAUGCCAGUCGAGCGGAUGAAGGGAGCUUGCUCCUGGAUUCAGCGGAGGACGGGUGAGUAAUGCCUAGGAAUCUGCCUGGUAGUGGGGGAUAACGUCCGGAAACGGGCGCUAAUACCGCAUACGUCCUGAGGGAGCAAGUGUGGGAUCUUCGGAUCUCACGCUAUCAGAUGAGCCUAGGUCGGAUUAGCUAGUUGGUGGGGUAAAGGCCUACCAAGGCGACGAUCCGUAACUGCUCUGAGAGGAUGAUCAGUGAUAGUGGAACUGAGACACGUUCGAUACUCUUACGGGAAGCAGCGGUGGGGAAUUUUGGACUAUGGGCGAAUGCCUGAUCCAACGACGCCGCGUGUAUGUAGAAGGUGUUCGGAUUGUAAAGCACUUUAAGUCUGGAGGAAGUGCAGUAAGUUAAUACCUUGCUGUUUUGACGUUACCUGGAGAAUAAGCACCGGCUGACUACGUG